AUAUUGGGCAAUGGAAGAGAUUCUGACCCAGCCAUGCCGCGUGCAGGAAGAAGGCCUUCUGGGUUGUAAAGCACUUUUGUUGGGGAAGAAAAGCCAUGGGCUAAUACCCUGUGGUUCUGACGGUACCCAAAGAAUAAGCACCGGCUAACUUCGUGCCAGCAGCCGCGGUAAUACGAAGGGUGCAAGCGUUACUCGGAAUUACUGGGCGUAAAGCGUGCGUAGGUGGUUUGUUAAGUCUGAUGUGAAAGCCCUGGGCUCAACCUGGGAAUGGCAUUGGAAACUGGCUGACUGGAGUGCGGUAGAGGGUAGUGGAAUUCCCGGUGUAGCAGUGAAAUGCGUAGAUAUCGGGAGGAACAUCCGUGGCGAAGGCGACUACCUGGACCAGCACUGACACUGAGGCACGAAAGCGUGGGGAGCAAA
rnacentral:rRNA from 1 species